CAGUUUAGCGGAAUGGAAAUUUUUGCUUGUAUUUGCUUCUCAAGUUUACUCAGACAAUGUUUCGAAUGAGCAUGCAAGCGCGUGUGCUGAUAUGUUUUGGGAGGCAGUGGAUGUUCUAUCAACCGAUGAAAAUGGAAAGAUAUUGCUGCAACCUUUGGGCCACUGUCCAGAGCUUAUCUCCGGCCUCAUCA
rnacentral:ribozyme from 1 species